UGUAAUUUACUUAUAUAACCUGGUCCUUC
rnacentral:sRNA from 1 species